UUCAUUUUGAUGAUUAUAAUCACAUGAAAUUUUUCUUCAUUAUAUUCCAAAGAAAUUUAGCAUUGAAAUAUCUAUUUUUUCUUAGAUUCUGGAGACGAUUCGGUAGGAUGACUCAUUUUCUGUCUUUUCCUACUACUUUCUGCUAAUACAUCCCUUGGUAAGGUUGAUGAUAUGUUCACAUCAUUAUUAGCAUUUCGUAAUUCCUUUCGUGACAUUAUCUGUUCAUCAAUUUCCCUAAUAUCUUCAAUUUUCGUCACAUCAAAAUACGGAGACAUUGCUAAAAUAGAAAUAUUAUUAAUGAUUACAAUAGUUCACUUCACAAGUUCUUAUCGAUAAUGUUAAAUGACUUUUAUAAAAGAGAAUUCGUUCAUAUAUAUAUAUAGACAUAAUAUUUAACAUAAUUUCUUAAUUUAUCAUCUCAAGAAUAAAUUAUCCAUUGAAUAAAUUCUAAAAAAAGUUCCAAAAAGAUUCUAAAAAAUCAGAAAAAAUAAAUGUGAGAAAGAGUAACAAAAAAAUACCACAAAACUAAUGAUCAAAGGAUAUUAGAUGACUGGGCACAUCAAAACAAUGUUAAAAAUAAUCAUUUAAAAUUUUCAGUAAAAAAUAAACAUUACCUAUUGUUUGUAAUUUCCCUAUAAUUUCAUGAUCACCGAUGUUAAAAGGACUCGAGAAAUUUGUAGCGAAAUUCUUUAUACGAAUGGGCAAUUUGAGCCUGUUAUCAGCAAUACAUCCAUAACAAGUGUUAUUCGCGGAAUUUCGUUGAUGAACUACGACUGCAAAAUUAGUUUUUAUGUAACCAAUAAUCCCUGAAAAUAAUUUAGACAAUUAAUAAUUUAUCAUUUUAUUAUUCAUUCUACUCAUGACAGGUGCAAUGAAAUCAACUUACGACAGGUGCGUUUGAAUUCCAUGAUUUCUGAUAAGGGCAUUGUUCUGAGAUCUUUCACUUCUAUUGUAUGCGUUCCCAGUUUAUUGACUUCUGUAUUCGAAUUGAUAUCCAAUUGCAACGGGAUAGUUUCACAAUUAUACCCCUCAUUAGUUAUAGUUGCUUUAGCGCCAUUAAUAUGUAUAACCUGUCGAUAAUAAUAAAUUUUCUUAAUUCUUUUCAUUUUCUUAUUUCAUUAAUUCAAUAGUAGGGGGUGGUGGGGCAAAACGGCCACAUUCAAUUUUUUUUUAUAUUGGAAAAUUAGAAAAAAAAACAGAAUCAAUGAGCCUUGAAUGCAAUCAAGGCUCAUCAAAAAGAGAACUUGUUCGACCAGUCCAAAAUCUCCUAAAAAAGUCAGAAAUCAUCUGGAAAACUCUCCAAUUAUCCGAGUAUUAUUGAAUACAUUUUCAAUAAUACUUGGUUGGUUAUAAGAAUGAAAUAUGCCUAAGUCAAGCAUGGCGGAAUAGAUUGGGGACAAAAAACGUUUCAUGGAUUUUUUUAAAGAGGAGGAACGGCUACAAUUGUUAUUAAUCAAGUAACCAAUGUACGUGAAAAUUGGUAAUGUCUACAGGAUAAAUUAAGGUUAUUAUUUUGAUAUAUGUUCAAUUUCUUUCACUUAUUUCAUUAGGUUCUGUCGAAUGAUAUCAACGAUCAAAUGUGAAUGAUCCAUUUCCAAAGAUCUGGAAAUGACUCAACUUCAAUAAGUACCUGAAAUGCAUAGUCUAGCAUUGGUCUAAUCAAAGAGAGUAAUCAAUUUUCAGCUUUCCAGACGUUCGCAUUGGUUUUCGCAUAUGCUCGGGAGUGCUCGGUAGAGCUGUCUGAAGGUAUUUUGGACUAUAUCGUUGGGAUGGCACCAGGGAUGACGAAAUGUUCAAUCAGUAGUAAUAACUGCAGGUAGUGAUGCAGUAAAGGCUACCCGCUCUUUCUUCCCCUAGGCCAAAAUCCAGAUAUGUUGGCUGGAUUUCGUCCAGACUGUGACGAAACUAUGGGACAAAGUCUUCAAAGAAGAAAAAUCACCUUUGAAACUACUUUUUUCUUGUUGGCUCCUUGGUCUGUGCAAACCAACAGACAUUGAAAAAGGACUGCAGAUAAUCAAAAAGGAUAUUGAUGACAAUGUACUGGAGUAUCGCGAAUCAUCCUACUUCUUUGAAUCUUUUAGAAGGGACUGGCAGCAUAGAAUCGCAUAUCUUGUUCCAGCCUUAAAUGCAUUUCAAUUGAGCAGAACAGAAGCACUUGGUCGCUAUGUUGCGGGAAGAUUACACGGCUGUAAGAAAAUCUUGCCAUUUAUUGAUGAGAUUGACAAAGUAUUACAAAAUGAAGUAGUAGUAAUGGGGAAAAAUAACCAGCGGGAAGCUAACAAGGUAGAUCGAGUAAAAAGCAUCAUAACCCCAACGGAUGAAAAGAGAAUCAUACGAACCUAUCAGGAGGUCUCCAGUGGCAGCAUUAUAGAAAGACCUUCGCAGAGUUUUUUGAAUAUACUUUCAGUAUACCAUUUACUUUCGGCAUUUACUCUACGAUACAAAUAAAAACUGACAAUCACCGGCAGCUUUUCUCAACCAGUGAUUUACAAAUUCGAGGUGGCCCCAAAAAUCUCCAAUUCUCAGGACUACAACAGCGACGCGUUGAAGCAGAGAAUAAAUCAGAUGAUCAUCAAUCCAAAUAUUUCAAACCUGAUAACACUACAAAAGCUCGAACGAACAUUGCUGACGAGACAGGAAACAGCGAUAACGAUCUGGAUGAUAGUAGGAUUAUGGACUUCUUCACGGCAGAAGAGCUCACAAAUGAUGAUAAUUCGAUGAAAACCACCCCUCAGAGUAUGAAUGGGGAAAUUGAAAUCCGACAUCCACUUUCUCUUCCCGACAGGAAUGAAAAUGAUAGUGGCAUCAUUGGAGACUCAGAGGGGAAUGAAAUUAGCAAUAAAAAAUCAUCGAAAAAAACUCAGCAGGAAGGCUGCGGGAUUCCUGACAAAAUUAUCAGUGAGACAGAUGAUGUUACCCCUGUGCGUCGUGUUUGUGAUGACAUCCGACAAGUACGAAGAUACCGAAAACAAAUACUUAUGGAGCGACCGUUUUUCGAGUGAAAAUACCGACCCAAGAAUAUGAAUAAUAAUGUAAAAUAAAAUAACAAUGUAUCAAAGUGAACUGACUCAUUUAUUCCCGA